AUGAGCUUGCUUUCAAGAAUAAGGCAUUAUUUACCCCAUGGUUUGUAUAUACAAACUUUUCAGCCAACCAUAGUGCAGCUUAACUCUAGUAACAUAUAUGCAUUUUCAAGAAAUUUUGGUCAGCCUGCAAGGAAAGAGGAGGAGGAUGUAGAGGAAGUGGAAAUUUACCCAAGAAGUCUUCCAGCUGAUUUUGAUCCCGCUACAUUUGAUCCCAAUGAUCAUCGAGGUCCUCCAUCAGAAAGAGUUUUCAGGCUUGUUGAUGAGAUAGCAUCUCUUACGGUAGCUGAAGCCUCAAAAUUGGGUCUUGUGCUGAUGAAGAAAAUGGGUGUGAAGGAGAUGUCUAAUGUGGAAUUUAUAAAAGCAGGAUCGGGAAAUUUGGCUGGAAUGGCAGCGAAAGCACCAGCUGCGGCCAAGGAGGAGCAAAAGCCAGGAAAAACUGUGUUUGAAUUGAAACUGGAGUCCUACGAAGCGGCUUGCAAAAUUAAAAUCAUCAAGGAAGUCCGGGGCUUUAGUGAUUUAGGUUUGAAGGAGGCCAAGAAUUUGGUGGAUAAAACACCUUUUUAUAUAAAGAAAGGUGUUUCAAAAGAAGAAGGGGAGAAGAUAAUGGAGAAACUCAAAGCUCGUGGUGCAAAAGUUAUUAUGUAAUGAUAUAUGGAUAUUAACCGUGGUUAUGCAGAUUUGUCAAGUGGAGGUACACAAAGGUCAGUUUUUUUCUUUUUUCUUUAAUUUAAACAAUGCACGAAUAAAUGUAUCUGUCUUGUUUCAUCUAUUCCUCGUGUUACAUCUGCUAGAAGUUCAAUCAACACGAUGGUAGUUGAGAAAGGAAAUAUGGUGAAGGAGCCAAUAUAGUCUUUAGAACAUUGCAGGAUUGGAACAUAAGCUUUAUAGGUUAUUGAGAGUUUUUCAUAUCAUCUGGGAUGAAAUGUUUACUACCACAAAUCAAAGAAACUAGCCAAACCUUAAUAAGAAAAAGAAAUUCCUUCAUUGGUUAUACUUUUACUGGAUGUUUUGAUCUCAGAGUGAGAGAGGAAUCAAAUUAUACUAUCAUAAAUUACAAUUUACAUCAGCUUUCAAACCAUCAAUAACUUUAUAUAGAAUGUGAUUUUUAUUAUUCCAACUAUUGGGUAUAACUGUAACAUCCCAAAAUAUAGUAAUAAACCAUAUAAUAGUAGUCACAGAAAUAAUAAAAUAGAUAAGUUAAAGACUAGGUUUGAAACACAUUCUCUAAGAUGACAACAAUUCGUGAGAUGUCUGCAAACUUUCACAAAUUAGACAAGUUUGAAGGCGUUGGUUUCCGACGAUAGCAAAAGAAGAUGCAUUUCCUUCUCUCAGCUCUAAACGUGACAUAUGUCCUAAGUUCUCCCCAACCCAAAGAAAGCGAAAACGAGACAUUGGAGGAACAACGAAAAAGGAACAAAUGAGAGAAUGAUGAUUAUGUCUGUCGUGGUCACAUUUUGAAUGAUAUGUCUGAUCCUUUAUUUGACAUAUAUCAAUAUGUGGAUUCUUCAAAAGAACUUUGGGAUCAACUUGAAAGCAAAUACAUUUCUGAAGAUGCAUCAAGCAAGAAAUUCCUAGUUACUAAUUUUAAUAAUUACAAAAUGAUUGAUGCUAAACCAAUAAUGGAACAAUUUCAUGAAAUCCAAAUAAUCCUAGGAAGUUUCAAGCAACAUAAUAUUGUAAUGGAUGAGACAUUCAUUGUUUCUUCUAUAAUUGACAAACUACCACCAAAUUGGAAAGAUGUUAGAAAUUCUCUAAAACAUAAUAAAGAUGAUAUGAAUGUUGAACAAUUGGCUGCUCAUCUUUGGAUAGAAGAAGGGGUCCGUUUGUAAGAUGGUCAAAAGGAUUCCAAUCAUCCUAAUUCUUCUACUGUUAAUAUGGUGGAAGAUGAAAAAAAAGACAAUACCAAAUAACAAGAAAAGGCCUCAUAAUUUCUAUAAAGGAAAGAUGAAAAAAAGGCCAAAAUUUGGUAAAGAAAGUCAACAAGCAAAUUGUUGGGAAUGUGGCAAGCCUGGUCAUUUAAAGAGGGAUUGCACAAUCUGGAAAAGGGAGAUGGCCAAGAAUGGCGCUAAACAAGGUUAAGGGGAGUCUAGCCAAGGCCAACCGAAAAAAAGACCGAUGAUUCAUGGUGGAUCGAUUCAGGGGCUUCAAGACAUGUUUGUAAGGAUCGUUGUCUAUUCAAAACUUUUAAGGAAGAUGACAAUGGAGAAGUUCUUUACAUGAGAAAUGAUUCUAUGCUUAAAGUCCUUGGUGUUGGACAAAUAGAAUUAUUAUUUAGUUAUGGAAAAUCACUUGUUUUAAGAGAUGUAUUAUAUGCUCCAAAAUUAAGAAGAAAUUUAGUGUUUGGAGUAAUCUUGAAUUGAUUGGGAUUUAAAUUGGUAUUUGAAUAUGAUAAAUUCAUAUUAUCUAAGGGUGGUGUAUUUGUUGGGCUAGGAUAUCUUUGUAAUAAUAUGUUCAAAUUAAGUGCAAUAAAUGAUGUGAAAGACUAUGUUUAUGCUGUCAAUCAUGAUUCUUCUUUAUGACAUUUUCGUCUUGGACAUGUUA